GUUCCAACGGUACAAGAUGAGCAUGCGUCCCAUUAGCUAGUUGGUGUGGUAACGGCACACCAAGGCGACGAUGGGUAGGGGUCCUGAGAGGGAGAUCCCCCACACUGGUACUGAGACACGGACCAGACUCCUACGGGAGGCAGCAGUGAGGAAUAUUGGUCAAUGGGCGCAAGCCUGAACCAGCCAUGCCGCGUGCAGGAUGACGGUCCUAUGGAUUGUAAACUGCUUUUGUACAGGAAGAAACACUCCCUCGUGAGGGAGCUUGACGGUACUGUAAGAAUAAGGAUCGGCUAACUCCGUGCCAGCAGCCGCGGUAAUACGGAGGAUCCAAGCGUUAUCCGGAAUCAUUGGGUUUAAAGGGUCCGUAGGCGGUUUUAUAAGUCAGUGGUGAAAUCUGGUCGCUCAACGAUCAAACGGCCAUUGAUACUGUAGAACUUGAAUUACUUGGAAGUAACUAGAAUAUGUAGUGUAGCGGUGAAAUGCUUAGAGAUUACAUGGAAUACCA
rnacentral:rRNA from 1 species